UCCNCNUAUAGUUUGAUGCUGGCUCAGAUUGAACGCUGGCGGUAUGCUUAACACAUGCAAGUCGAACGGUAACAGACCGCUGUGAUCCCUUCGGGGUGAACUUGGUGCUGACGAGUGGCGGACGGGUGAGUAACGCGUAGGAAUUUACCCAGUAGAAGGGGAUAGCCCGGAGAAAUCCGGAUUAAUACCGUAUACGCCUAGCCUAGCUAGGGAAAGAGGGCCUCUCCUUGGAAGCUCUCACUAUUGGAUGAGCCUGCGUCCGAUUAGCUUGUUGGUGGGGUAAAAGCCUACCAAGGCGACGAUCGGUAGCUGGUCUGAGAGGAUGAUCAGCCACACUGGGACUGAGACACGGCCCAGACUCCUACGGGAGGCAGCAGUGGGGAAUAUUGGACAAUGGGCGCAAGCCUGAUCCAGCAAUGCCGCGUGUGUGAAGAAGGCCUGCGGGUUGUAAAGCACUUUCAGUAGAGAAGAAAAGCCUAGGGUUAAUAACCCUGAGUCUUGACGUAACCUACAGAAGAAGCACCGGCUAACUCAGUGCCAGCAGCCGCGGUAAUACUGAGGGUGCGAGCGUUAAUCGGAAUUACUGGGCGUAAAGCGAGUGUAGGCGGCUACGUAAGUCGGAUGUGAAAGCCCUGGGCUUAACCUGGGAAUUGCAUUCGAUACUGCGUAGCUAGAGUCUGAUAGAGGUAAGUGGAACUCCGGGUGUAGCGGUGAAAUGCGUAGAUAUCCGGAGGAACAUCAGUGGCGAAGGCGGCUUACUGGACCAAAACUGACGCUGAGGCUCGAAAGCGUGGGGAGCAAAC
rnacentral:rRNA from 1 species